rnacentral:rRNA from 1 species
UACGUAGGUGACAAGCGUUGUCCGGAUUUACUGGGCGUAAAGAGCGCGCAGGCGGUCGUUCAAGUCGAGUGUGAAAGCCCCCGGCUCAACUGGGGAGGGUCACUCGAUACUGAUCGACUCGAAGGCAGGAGAGGGUAGUGGAAUUCCCGGUGUAGUGGUGAAAUGCGUAGAUAUCGGGAGGAACACCCAGGGGGAAACCAGCCGACUGGGCAAGUGCUGACGCUGAGGUGCGAGAGCGUGGGGAGCGAACCGG